GACCAAUCUGAUGGCCUAGCAGUUAGAGCAUCUGCCUCAAAUGUAGGUGGCCCUGGGUUCAAACCCCAGCUAAGUCA